rnacentral:rRNA from 1 species
UACGUAGGUGACCAGCGUUGUCCGGAUUUACUGGGCGUAAAGAGCGCGCAGGCGGUCGUUCAAGUCGAGUGUGAAAGCCCCCGGCUCAACUGGGGAGGGUCAUUCGAUACUGAUCGACUGGAAGGCAGGAGAGGGAAGCGGAAUUCCCGGUGUAGUGGUGAAAUGCGUAGAUAUCGAGAGGAACACCUGCGGCGAAGGCGGGUUGCUGGGCUGACACUGACGCUGAAGCGCGAAAGCUAGGGGAGCGAACGGG